CGGCGGACGGGUGAGUAACGCGUGGGUAACCUGCCUCAUACAGGGGGAUAACGGUUAGAAAUGACUGCUAAUACCGCAUAAGCACACAGUACCGCAUGGUACGGUGUGAAAAACUCCGGUGGUAUGAGAUGGACCCGCGUCUGAUUAGCUAGUUGGUGAGGUAACGGCCCACCAAGGCGACGAUCAGUAGCCGACCUGAGAGGGUGACCGGCCACAUUGGGACUGAGACACGGCCCAG
rnacentral:rRNA from 1 species